GAUGAACGCUGGCGGCGUGCCUAAUACAUGCAAGUCGAGCGAACAGACGAGGAGCUUGCUCCUCUGACGUUAGCGGCGGACGGGUGAGUAACACGUGGAUAACCUACCUAUAAGACUUGGAUAACUUCGGGAAACCGGAGCUAAUACCGGAUAAUAUAUUGAACCACAUGGUUCAAUAGUGAAAGACGGUUUUGCUGUCACUUAUAGAUGGAUCCGCGCCGCAUUAGCUAGUUGGUAAGGUAACGGCCUACCAAGGCAACGAUGCGUAGCCGACCUGAGAGGGUGAUCGGCCACACUGGAACUGAGACACGGUCCAGACUCCUACGGGAGGCAGCAGUAGGGAAUAUUCCGCAAUGGGCGAAAGCCUGACGGAGCAACGCCGCGUGAGUGAUGAAGGUCUUCGGAUCGUAAAACUCUGUUAUUAGGGAAGAAAAAAUGUGUAAGUAAAUAUGCACGUCUUGACGGUACCUAAUCAGAAAGCAACGGCUAACUACGUG
rnacentral:rRNA from 1 species